rnacentral:rRNA from 1 species
GAUGAACGCUAGCUACAGGCUUAACACAUGCAAGUCGAGGGGAAACGAUAUUGGAAGCUUGCUUCUGAUAGGCGUCGACCGGCGCACGGGUGAGUAACGCGUAUCCAACCUGCCCAUCACUUGGGGAUAACCUUGUGAAAGUAAGACUAAUACCCAAUGACGUCUCUAGAAGACAUCUGAAAGAGAUUAAAGAUUUAUCGGUGAUGGAUGGGGAUGCGUCUGAUUAGCUUGUUGGCGGGGUAACGGCCCACCAAGGCGACGAUCAGUAGGGGUUCUGAGAGGAAGGCCCCCCACAUUGGAACUGAGACACGGUCCAAACUCCUACGGGAGGCAGCAGUGAGGAAUAUUGGUCAAUGGACGAGAGUCUGAACCAGCCAAGUAGCGUGCAGGAUGACGGCCCUAUGGGUUGUAAACUCCUUUUAUAAGGGAAUAAAGUGAGUCUCGUGAGACUUUUUGCAUGUACCUUAUGAAUAAGGACCGGCUAAUUCCGUGCCAGCAGCCG